GGCGGGGCCUCUGGGCUGAGUCUUGCACCUCUGGGCUGAAUGCCCAGGCCACCUCCCGUCCAGGCCACCCUGCGACUGCUGGCCGAGUCCUGAGGGACAGUCUUUAUCUGGCCUUUUCUGAGGGCCGGUGCUGCUGUCACCUGAGUCUCCCCAGCGGCCGGGACGCCUCCUGUCUGUCCUCCUCCAGUGGGUGCCCCACAGGCCAUCGGUUCCGUGUCACACCGCACGUCUGUCCUCAUCGACCCCGGGCUGAAGACCCUGCCGAGCCCUCUCCUGUUUAAGCCCCAACACCUCCUUGGUGCCCUGGGAGGGCCUUCGGGCGGCCCCAGCUCUCCGUCCUUGUCGCCCAACACCCUGGGUGCCUGUGCUGUCCGUGCACGCUGCGCGCACGCGCUCUGCGGGUCUCUACACUUCGGCACGUGCGGUUCCCGCUCCUGGAGCCCUGGUUCCUCUUGUCCUGGCGAGCUCCUGUCCUCCUCCCAGGCACAGCUGUAACGUCCCCUUCUCCGCCCGCCGCGAGCGUCAGGAGCUCCCGUCUGGGGUUCUGGCAGCGCCCUGUGCCUUCCUGCUGCCUGCCUUCGCUGGGCUCUUCUUCCCGGGCUGGAGCUGCUCUCCAGGAGUGCCGGGAAGACAAGGACAAGCUCUUACUCGUUCCUGUAAGCCGGGCGCCUGCCACAGCUGCUGCUGAGGGGACGUUGGCUCAACAGAGCACUGCUUUCUCUUCCAGCGAGCUGGCCUCCUCUCUCCUUGCGGAAGCCUGAGGAAACAGGAAUGCCGGCCCCGAGGUGAGGAGCAGAGGGUGCCUUCGUGGAUGUGAGGCCUCGGGGCUGCGGGGCACCUGAGCGAUCAGCAGGUCCAACUCCCUCCAUGCCGGUGUCCCCUCCUCGGCUCGUCGCCCCAGGAGUGGUUGCGAGCUGCGUCCAGACACCCCAGAACCUCGUCGGAGUGGUUUCAAAUCAUGAGGGAGGGUCCCGGGAAUGGUGGGUGGGCUGCUGGCGUUCCUCCCGAAUCCCGGUUUUGAAGAACUGGAACUUGCCCAGUGAGCUAGAGGCCCGUGAUCGGUGGCUGCUGGUUGGGGGACAGCUGUGACGGCGCUCCGUAAGGACUCCCUUCUCUGACCCUCCCGUGUGUGCUGAGAGGCGGGGAGCCCCAGGUCCCCCGGGGCGGGGGAGGUCCGGGGUAGUGGCUGCCAGGCCAGUUCGCUGCCGGAUGGGCGGGUGCAGGAGGAAUGGCCUGGCCGUGUUGCAGGUGGGCGUGGGACGGUGUGUGGCUGCCCCCGGGAGAGGGACCCCUCUGCAGCUCAGCCUUGAUCUUCAGUACAGCUAAGUCAGCGCCGAGCCUUCAAACCAUCUGAUUUCUGACUUCCCGGUGACGCUUUCUCCACCUGCUGCUUCCCACACCCUCCAGGAGCAAGGUCCCGGCAGGAACAGGCCUUCUCUCCCUCCUGUCUGCUCACUUGGGGGUCAGCCGGGCCUCCAGCCUGGCCGCUCCCGCCUUCCGCUGCUCGGGCUGCUGCUUCCUCCCAGCCCCUGUGACUGGGCCGCAGCCCACAUCCCAGGAGGGAGUCUCCUCCCCAAGCUCCGCUUCCUCCCCCGACACGCUUCUGUCCCCGUGAGGCACCCCAUCUUCCUUCUAGGAAGUCCUCGUCGUUUGCGCCACUGCUCUUUGGGGGGCGGUGCCCCCAGGACAUCGUCUCCCCUCGGAGCCCGGGGCACCUGCUCUGAGUGCACUUCCCCUUCUGACCCCCGCCCAUGGCACCAGCAGACCUCACUGUCCCUGCGACCCAUCUGGGCACUUGCCUCGGCGGCUGCGUCCCCUUCUCGGCCCCGGGGGCCUGGGUGCCUCCAGCCCCCACCCCAACUGCGUCUUUGAGGCCCGGAGAGGGUUCCAGUUUGCUCCUGCCGCACGUUUGGGGGUACCACCGGUGUGGGACGGGCUCGACCCAAAGUCUCAGUUUCCCUAGUGUCCUCCUUGGUAGGGCUGGUUUCCUCUCUGCAACGCCUUUUGCCCAUCUUUCCACUGAGCUGCGUGUCCUUUUUGUGCCGAGUCGUGGGAGCUCCUUCCGGGGUCCGGGUACUAGUCCCGCCCUGGUUGUUUGUGUUUCAGAUGCCUCCUCCUGCCCCUUGGGGGCUGGUUUCCUCCUCUCUCUGAAGGGCAGCUUUGGACUCGGCAUGCGCCUACACCCUCUCCGGCCUGUAAGUGCCCCACACGUCAGGGCGUGUCCCGCCGGCCCACUCCCAGGCCCGCCCCCUGGGGCUGGUGGUCCCCGAGGAGCCGGUGCCCUGGCGUCCAGCGCUCUGCCCGUGAGAAAGGGCUCCUUCUUGACUGGGUAAGUCACUCGGUCAGUGCCUGGCUUUAGUCCCUGCCCUGGACUCACGCAGGGCAAGCCCCGGGGCAGCCGUGCAGCUGCAGGAAGACGGCCGGCCUUGUUUUCUCUGCCCCAGCUCCCGGUUUACCUCCUGCCGCCCCACAUCUGGCCUGUUUCUAAGACGUGCUCCCCUGCCCCCUCCUUCCCCUCUGUCCCCUGGGCAGCUCCUGUUGGCCGUGUCCCUCUCCACACGGCCCAGAUCGAGGGGUCCAGCCUGAGAACCGCAGGUGUUUCUGAUUCUGUCUCAGUGACUGGCGCUGCAGGACCUCGGGAAGAAGCUGCACGCAGGGGACCUGCAGACGUGAGCAGCCACUUGGCCGCCACUGCUCGGGUUGGCGCCUGCGCAGGGAACGUGGCGCAGCACAGGGGGCCUCCUGUGCGCUUCUGGCGAUGCCCCCACUUGCAUUCACGUUACAGACGGUUAUAUCGCCUUUGGCUGGGGGCGGGAGAUGCUCGUCUCCAGGUCUGCGGCACUCCUGAGCUCUUGGGUCUACGUGCUCUUCAGCGUCCUCAGUCUCUGGGCAACGACCCGGGCCCCAGGCCCUCCGCAGCUGGAGGGGGCCUUCCCGACAUCAGGCCGUGGCCCAGUGAAUGGGGCCAGCUUCCUUGUUUGAGAGAUUCAGGAGUGGGGCCGGGGUGCGGGGGUGGGAGUCUGGAGCGAGCGUUGCCAUCCCGUAACCGUGGUCACAGGGCUUGGAUGACAGGACUGCUGUGCUCUGUGCCUGUAGGGCCCAUUCAGCCGCCUCCUGAGUAUCCCUGUGCUCUCCGUGGUGACUUUACAAAGGACAGAGAGGAUGUGAAGAGUCAGGAGCAAGGGACGCCCAUAAGGCAUCGCCUGGAGGCAGGAAGGGUCAUCCCAGGUUCUGAAGGAUUCCUCGGCAGACAUCUCACUAAGCCCUGCGCCUGGUUCCGGAGGAUACUGGAUUGCAGCCUCUCCCUGCUGAAGACCAACUGACAAACCCUCGGGAAUGGCCCUGCGUACCUGGGACCAGUGACAGCCUCUGCUCAGAAACCCCGGCCCAGGGGUGCUCCUGAAGCGGCCGCAGAGACAGAGUUUAUCGCGUCUCCCACAUCAGGGUCAAGCUGGGCCCGGUGUCCACCAGCCUCCAGCUGUCUGGUUGUCCCGCUUCCCGGUGUUGGGUCACCCAGCGCGGAGCCCGAGGUCCCUUUGGGAGGGGCUGGGGGGUCAUUCCAGUGCCUGCUUGCCGUGGUGCUGCAGCGUCCUUCCCGCUGGGGACCCGCCACGUCCCUGGUCCGCGGUUCCACGUCUGAGAACUGGCUCGGGGGCAGAACCUGGGCGAGGGAUCGUGACUUGUUCACUGGGGCGGCUGCCCUCGGCCUCCUGCCGUCCGUCCUUGCUCUUUUGAGUGUCCAUCUUAGACUGUAUCUUGGUUGGUUGCCCAUCCAUCGAGCCCCCGGGAAGCCGUAUGGUACUGACCACCUGCCCCGCUCGGUGGGUCAGGCCUCCUGGUCAGUGGCGGCCAUCGUCAUAGCCCCUGGUUUCUGGCCGCUCAGUGGCGCCCCACGACCUCUGCUGCGGUCCCUGGGCGGCGGGGGAGGGCAGGGGCUCGUCCCUUUCCUCCCUCACCUGGCCUGGCGCGCCCGGCCUGUGUUGUGAGGUGACUUCGCUCUGCUUGGGGGCCUGGCAGUGGGCUGACCACCUCUCCCCAUUUUUCCUGCACUCUCCUGCUUGUAGCGCUUCGGGUCCCACAGCAAAUCGGGGCGGCUGGCUACCCUGUCUCCUGGGACGGAGGGCACCUGUGGGGAAGGACACGGGUCAUGUUUGCUCCCUCGGGGGUGAGUUGGGGACGCCAGCUCUUUAGGGGGAGGGGUGUGCCGCUGCCUCAGGCUCAGAAGCUCAGAGACAUCUGGGGAGCCCCGCUCUUCUGGGGCUUCCUCCCGGUCUCCCUGGUCCUCGUGUCAAGGAUGCAGGUUUGCCCAGGUGGGCUUCCGAUGCUGGCGGGACGGGCGUGCCUUGGUUGAACGUUCAGCGUCUUUGAGGUUCAGCCACUUCUGUCGAAUCCUGGGUUGGACGAUUGUCCGCUGCCUGAGAUGGGGGCUCCUUUGUAAGGUACUGGGGAGACCCUGGGGCCCCCUUUUUUCUCACUUUGCUCUUCACCCUAAGCUGCUCAUCCCCUAUGGUCGGCAAAGCAAAGAAGUCACCUCCCCCUGUGCCCCCCGCGUUCCGCACGCUUGGAUCUUCUCACCUGCCAGGACGUUCCUCUCCCCCUGCCAGCCCAGCGAAAAUUCUAGCAUGAAAGUUCUAGCAACUGGGCUGUGGCCUUGCGGCCGGGGCUGUCCGCCCGCACACCACCCAUCCCCGGGGUGGGGUCCUCAUUGCCAGUGAGGCGGGUGAUGACAAUCCCGUACCAAGACCCCAUCUCAUCACCUGCUCCUUGGACCACUCCAGGGCCGGCCGGCUCGGGUUGCGUCCCUCGGGAAGCUGAUCCCGGGAGAGAGUUAGUGCCAAAGGCUGGCUGGGGACUCACACCCACUAAGGGGACAGGGAGCAAGCAGGGUUGGGCAGGGUGUCCCUUCAACCUGCGAUGUCGACCUGACGGUUUCUGCCAGCCCGUCGGGGAGCUGCAGAGCACGGACGGGCAUUAGAGGUCCCCGCAGUGGGCCCCCGUGGUCAGGCCCUCGCAGCGCCCGAGGCCUUGCGAUCCACAUCGACUGACCGGGAGAACCAACACCCAGAAGUGGUGCCCGAGGGGUGGCUGCGUGCGCGCACGGGGCGCCAGCUGCCUUUGCCCGGGCAGCACCUUGCUCUGCCCUGCGGCCGGCCUGGUGGGAGGUGCUUUGGCUUCUUGUGCAUCAGACGACCGCUGGGUUGGGCCGGGGACGUGCUUCCAGGGCGUUGGCUGACUGGCCAUCUGUCAGCGUCAUCGGUGUCAGCGCAGCUUGAUGGGAGAGGGCAGAUCUGGGUACCAGGCGUCAGAAGGCAAAGCCCAUUUAAGUCCGCAGACGUCCGUCCUGUGAGAGGGUCCUGGACUGUGCAGGGACACAGGUGUCCACUCGCCCUUGGGUUACUCAGGGCUGGUGGGGGAGGGGCAUCUUCCAGGCAGACCUGUAAAGCACAGAGUCUGAACCGAGGCGGAAGGAGGGCAACGUGAAGAGCGGGGAAGCCCUGACUCAGAGCCAGGGGCUGCGGAGGGCUUCAGGGACGAGGGCCGUCUGGGCUGGGUCUUGAAGUGAGAAGGGUCUCCUUAGCUGGGAGAUGGGGGACGGGCCCCCUGGAAGGGCCAGACACGUUCAGGGGACUGAGCCCAGGUGCGUGGCUGGAGCAGACGAGUUUGUGGAGGGCCCCAGCCUGACACCAGCAAUCAGGUCCUCUGAGCGAUUGCUGGCAUGGGAGUUUUAGAGAUUUUGAUGUGCUGUGAAGUUUCAUUCAUUGUCUGUAGAGGGAAGUGUGUGUGCAGAGCACCCAGGUAGGCUGGGCAGGCUCCUGUCGUCCACAGGGAGCAGCGUGGGAGGAAGCACAAGCUCUGCUCUGCCGUCACAAACCUGCGAUUGAUCCCCGGCCCCACCACUGCUGGAGUGUGAGCCUAAGCAAAUCACUUUACCUCUGUGAGUCUGGACUUCCUCGUCUAAAGGACGGGCAUAAUGUGAAAGUCUCCCCAUAAGGACUAAUUUUUUAAAUUCUGUCUGGUGGGGGUGAGGAUGACACGGGAUGAUUCACAUGAGAGCAAUCUGUAAACCAGAAAGCACCUACUACGAAUAGUGUUCGAAGAGACGUCUCUGUUUUCCCAAGAAGGAUUUGCCAGGCUAGAAAGAGUGUGGGAAAGCAGGCCUGUGCCUUGAAACCUGCAGCUGGGAGACAGGCAGACACUGAAAAGCCUCCAGCUUGGAAUGGAGGAAGAGAACAGUGACUGUCGGACUCCAGUCCCAAAGGUCCUACAGGAUAUGGCCUGGGGACUUGGGGGCCAUGGGUAGGUUUUGACCAAAGACGUAUAGUGGCCCCUGGACACAAUAGGAGGCAGCGUGAACUGAGUCAAUCCGACAGGGUUUGAGAAUUAGGGGCUGUAGCAGCGCCAGGAAUCACUGAAGCUAGGAGCUUCCCUGAACUGUGUGGGAGUUGAUGUCAGCCUGCUGCCUCGGGAAAUACGGGUCUGUGAUUUGCUCUCCACGAUUCCAUCAGCCAUGAUGCUUUGGCAACCAAAAGUGUUUUCACCAGCUUGACCUAAACCCUUUUGGUGGUAAAACCAAAAAUGGAUGAUGCCACAAAGCUAUUUAUAGCAUCCUGAAUUUUUCUUUAUUUAUCCCAUUUGGUGUUAAGAGUCAUGUGGUUCACUGCAGAGAAGUCAGCGUGUUUGCUAGACCCUGCCAGGGUGUCACUGAUAUAUGCUCUGUGUCCCCAUCAUCUUCAUGAAUCCUGAAACUCACGUGGCCCCCAAGGCUUUUGGACGAAGCGUUGUGCGCAUGUGAUAUUAACACCAGUAAGAACCAACAUUUUGACAGAGGCCCAGGGUUCCUGGGUGUGUGACCUUCCUCCAGCCUUCGGCCAGCAGGGAUGCCCUCCCUGGGACAGGCAGGACUGAGGCCCAAGCCCCAGGUCAACCUAGAUGACUAGAUACCCCACCAUCUGUCAAACUGCAUCAGGAUGUGGAAUCUCGUUUGGCACCAACCACGGUCUUCCAUGGGAGAAAUGGGAUGAACCUAGAGCUAAAAAGAGGAAGCGUUCUUGGAAAGCGUGUUUGUCCACUAGUUGUUUAUAUCUCUGAAAACCUGUCCACUGUCUUGUUUCAGGAAAUCCCGAGCGCUGUGCCAUCUCCCAGUGCUGUCCCACAAAGCCUGCGUCCCCCACACAAUUCUGGUGUGUUUUGUGCUUUAGGAGUCUCUGAUUUUGAGAGCUCGGUGAUGACACGGAGCUCGGCAUCAUCAGGCUCACCCAGUUGCCUUGCUUUCAUAGCACACUUCCCAAGAGCCCAGGGGGAAAUGCAGCUGGAGGGAAAGGGCGCUGUGCUGCCACAGGUGCUAGUUGCUCUGCUGGGUGGCCCCCUCUGUCCCUGAGAAGCCUGUCUGUUAACUUUGGACAGGAUGGAAAGAUGCCUUCAGGGACGUGUCACUUGCUCCAUGCUUAGUAACUAAUUAUAUUAUUAGGAUUAACCUGGACCCUAAAUUGCAAAGUCCAUGUUUUCCCUGAGCAAAAUUGAGGUUUUCUGCCAGCCAAUGAUCUGGAAGCUCUCUCUUGCCUGCCCACCCCUGCUUCUGUGCCUUGGUGACUCUCCAUGUACCCUGGUUGCCCAUGAGGAUGCAUGGUGGUCAGCCUCACACACAGGGCUGAGCGGCCCAGACCAAUGCCCUGGGCUGGGUUUGUCCUUGGCACCGUGGCCAUCAUGACUCAGAGGCUAUUUAGGGUUUAAGUUCCAGCUCUGCUGGCGGUGAGAUCUUGAGCCAGUGCUGACCCUUCUCCAGCCUCAGUUUGCACAUCUGUAUGCUGGGCGUAGUAACAGUGCACAGUCCCUGAGGCAGCAGGGAGGAUUCCAUGAGUUGAAAGGCUGGAAUGAAUUUGGUGCACAAAGAUGUUAUGGGGAAGAGAAGCAGGAAAAUUAUGUUGGGGUCUUUUGCCUGCCUUUGGGCCCCACCACCGGCUGACAAUUGCAGAAAGAGUGCUCAAUGCUACCUUGCCUCCAGCCUGUUGUCGUGUCCCUCUGGGGUUCUGAGAACUGGUUCUUUAAGCAGCUUGUUGUUGACGUAGAAGACAAGUUACACUGGAAAUGCGAAACCAGAGUUGCUCUGCUCAAAGUGCCAGGAACAAGGCACCAGGAAGAUGCCCCACUUGCUCCCUGGAGCCUGUCAGGCAACUGGGUGGGUAUCACCUGAGUAAGGCUGAAGUCCCCUGUGCCACAGGCUGCGGCUUCAGAACUGGAAGCAUUUCACUGGCCCAGCUGGCAUUUCUCUGAAGUUCACGAGCCAUGGUGUGGGACUCAGGAGGGCCAGCAGUCGCUGCAGCUGUGCCCCAGUGAGGCUAGAGCUGGGGCAGGCCACGUAGGGCAGGAUCUGGAACUCCACUGGCAGAACCUGCUACCCACAGCCCCAGAUUAUUGAGUACCUGCUGGACACUGGGAACAGACCCCUAGGCAGUCUCUUUGUGGGAAUUCACAUUUCCUGAUGCGGCCAAGGGAAGUUUAGCAGCGGGUCAGGACCACCCUGUGGAGCUAGGAUUGAAAUUACAUCUGUCUGAAGGCAGAGCUCAUGCUCAUUUAAUUGCCCCAUCAUGUGACCACUCCACGUGCCACCACUCAGAGAGGUGGGGGCCACGUGGCCCGCUGGAGGCCAGCAAGCUGUCGGGGGCAGUGACGUUGGGCAGCUGGUGGUUUCUGCCAGGGUACAAGGUGAAGGCUAGGACCGGGAGUUUCAAGCUUUUGCUCCUACCCGGGGUUCAAAGGCAACACUUGGGCUCCAAAAUUCAAUGGAGAGAAAUUCCAGCUUUAAGGACUUUUGCAAGCUGUGGUUUGCCUGUGAACACAUGUCCUUUAGCAAGAAUCCCCUCUGGUAUGCCUUCCACCCAAGUGUUUUUAUUGGUCCCUUAGAGACUCUUACAGAAGUUUCCCAUAUUGAUAGACUUUUAAAUGAUGUUACAGAAAUAUCACAUCACACGGAUUACAUAAGGGGUGACGUCCACUGCUUCCCAAAUGCCACAUUUCUUCAAGUAAAAUGCAGAUGACAGCCUGCAGUGUAUAAGGAAAUGACAUCCUAGUAAAGGCAAAAUUGAAAUUCUCA